GAUUGCUGGAAAACCAUAUUUUAGAGUCAUCCUGUGCAUCCCACGAAUGAUGCAGUAAUUGCUGGAAAACCAUAUUUUAGAGUCAUCCUGUGCAUCCCACGAAUGUUGCAGUGAUUGCUGGAAAACCAUAUUUUAGAGUCAUCCUGUGCAUCCCACGAAUGAUGCAGUAAUUGCUGGAAAACCAUAUUUUAGAGUCAUCCUGUGCAUCCCACGAAUGAUGCAGUAAUUGCUGGAAAACCAUAUUUUAGAGUCAUCCUGUGCAUCCCACGAAUGAUGCAGUAAUUGCU